GUGAGCAAUCUGCCCUUGACUCUGGGAUAAGCGUUGGAAACGACGUCUAAUACCGGAUACGACCCUUGGAGGCAUCUCUGGGGGUGGAAAGAAUUUUGGUCAGGGAUGAGCUCGCGGCCUAUCAGCUAGUUGGUGAGGUAAUGGCUCACCAAGGCGACGACGGGUAGCCGGCCUGAGAGGGUGACCGGCCACACUGGGACUGAGACACGGCCCAGACUCCUACGGGAGGCAGCAGUGGGGAAUAUUGCACAAUGGGCGAAAGCCUGAUGCAGCAACGCCGCGUGAGGGACGACGGCCUUCGGGUUGUAAACCUCUUUUAGUAGGGAAGAAGCGAAAGUGACGGUACCUGCAGAAAAAGCACCGGCUAACUACGUGCCAGCAGCCGCGGUAAUACGUAGGGUGCAAGCGUUGUCCGGAAUUAUUGGGCGUAAAGAGCUCGUAGGCGGUUUGUCGCGUCUGCUGUGAAAACCCGAGGCUCAACCUCGGGCCUGCAGUGGGUACGGGCAGACUAGAGUGCGGUAGGGGAGAUUGGAAUUCCUGGUGUAGCGGUGGAAUGCGCAGAUAUCAGGAGGAACACCAAUGGCGAAGGCAGAUCUCUGGGCCGUAACUGACGCUGAGGAGCGAAAGCAUGGGGAGCGAACAGGAUUAGAUACCCUGGUAGUCCAUGCCGUAAACGUUGGGAACUAGAUGUGGGGACCAUUCCACGGUCUCCGUGUCGCAGCUAACGCAUUAAGUCCCCGCCUGGGGAGUACGGCCGCAAGGCUAAAACUCAAAGGAAUUGACGGGGGCCCGCACAAGCGGCGGAGCAUGCGGAUUAAUUCGAUGCAACGCGAAGAACCUUACCAAGGCUUGACAUAUAGAGGAAACGGCUGGAAACAGUCGCCCCGCAAGGUCUCUAUACAGGUGGUGCAUGGUUGUCGUCAGCUCGUGUCGUGAGAUGUUGGGUUAAGUCCCGCAACGAGCGCAACCCUCGUCCUAUGUUGCCAGCACGUAAUGGUGGGAACUCAUGGGAUACUGCCGGGGUCAACUCGGAGGAAGGUGGGGAUGACGUCAAAUCAUCAUGCCCCUUAUGUCUUGGGCUUCACGCAUGCUACAAUGGCCGGUACAAAGGGCUGCAAUACCGCAAGGUGGAGCGAAUCCCAAAAAGCCGGUCUCAGUUCGGAUUGAGGUCUGCAACUCGACCUCAUGAAGUCGGAGUCGCUAGUAAUCGCAGAUCAGCAACGCUGCGGUGAAUACGUUCCCGGGCCUUGUACACACCGCCCGUCAAGUCAUGA
rnacentral:rRNA from 1 species